UAAGCCAGAUCUCGUUGAAUCGGAUUAAUUGGAAUCCAUGAUCGUUGGUCACAAUUGAUGUGUUAGUUUCGGUGUUGGAAUGAUCUAUUUCCGUCCCCAUAGACGACGCCAAAUGUAGGUUCUGAAAUCCACACUAGAGAUUUGUAAUUGAGAUUAUGAGAAAGGAGGGCUAGAUCUUCACAGGAACUUUGAGAGUUAUAUUGCUAAGAACGAUUGGACUUUUGUAUUGAUUAUGACAGAGCUUUUACAAUGUGAAAGGAGAUUACAAGUGUAAAAGUAUAAGUGUAAAUGUAAAGAUGUAUUGAAUUGUCCCUUCAAAGUCGUCCUUGCUCCCUUAUAUAGGUCUACGCACGUCGUAGCUCCGUCCGGGAUCUACAGAGAUUCCUCUGGAUAUUCGGCAGGUCAGUUUCGGGAUAUCAGGUCCGCUUUGCGAAUUCCUCCCAGUUAGUUCUUAGGUUGUUAUUCGCUUAUCUUCCUUCAUCAGGUGACCGGUAUUAUCAGGCCCAAAUACCCAUUCGCGUAUGUGGUCUCAUCAGUUGCGUCGGUCCUCUACUUGGGGGGCUUGGUGGCUUAGUGGGCUAACUUGGUAUUUUCGCAGGUGGAUUCCUGGAGGGGAAUCCAGCUCCAACAGUUUUCUUCUUCGUAAUCCUGAUGCUAACCCAAGGAAGAGCUGCAAUGCCAUCUUGAUCAGAGAAGGAGAUGAUAUGUGGGAGGAAUUGGACACUGAAGACGAGUUGGAGCUCGCAGUUGUAGAGAUGGUGUCGACCGACACCCUCCUCUGUCGAUCGACACCAUACGGGACGCUCUUCUCAAAGACGACCCAAUACGACGGUGUCGAUCGAUACCUCUCUAGUGUCGAUCGACACUGGAUCCGGACAGCACCCUGUGAGGUGCAAAUACCUAUGCAGCCCGAGUCUGUCUACACUCCUCAUGUGCCUUAUCCGAGGAGGCGUCGUUCUAAGCAGGAGCUUCAUGCUGCCAAGUGCACAGCCGUAAUGGAGAAGAUCCUCCAUACUCUUCCUAAGGAUGCUUCUGAGACAUCUUCUAUCUCACUCAACAGGUAUGUCAAGCGACUUGUUGACAAUGGAAUUAGCUCAGAUGAAGCU
rnacentral:sRNA from 1 species